AUGAAGAGAUGUGAUGAUCUAAUGAACCAGAAGCAAUCCAUUGGAGCUGUCUUACACAAGGGAACAAAGAAAUCCAAUAUAGAUGAUGUGGUUGCUGUUGCUUUGAAGGAUGCUCCUCAGAAUUUAAAGUUGGUUUCUUCGACUAUCCAGAAAGAUAUUGUGAAAGCUUGUGCGAUAGAAACUGUCAAAGCAAUCAUAGAAGAUCUGGGAGAUGAAUACUUUGCUAUAUUGGUUGAUGAAGAUAUGCAUAGAGAGAAACAAGCAAAAAGAGUCCAGACGGCACUGCAGAAUGGAGAACUUGAAACUGGUAGAGGUUUGAAUCAAGAACUUGGACUUAAACGAGCUGGGGAUACUCGUUGGGGUUCUCAUUUCAGCUCUCUCUUGAAUAUGAUUGUUUUGUUCCCCUCGGUAAUUGAAGUUGUUGAUGAUAAUGCACAAAACGCCAGCAAAGCUCUCGAUAGGAUUAAAGCAAAAGGUGUUUUGGACGCUAUUCAAACAUUUGACUUUGUUUUCAUGAUGCACUUGAUGAAGGACAUUGUGAAUGCCGUGUCGUAUCUUCACACAACCAAAAUAAGGCUACAGGAAAUAAGAAACCAAGGUUGGGAAGGUAUGAUUAAAAAGGUUACUGAUUUUUGCAUUGAACAAGAUAUUGAACUUUCUGAUAUGGAUGCUAUGCAUAUUCCCCGAGGAUCGAAAUCAUAG
rnacentral:rRNA from 1 species